GUGAGAGGUCUGGUAGCUAGUAUUAGUAGUAUCGCCGCCAUAUUGAAAGUGGUAGAGAGUUUUGAGCGUUUGCAGGAUCGUCAGUAGUUAAUUUGGGCUAUUAAUACGUUGAGGCAGAUAAGAAUAUGUCACGAACUGUUCUGCCCCAUCCAAGCAAAGUCCAUGUAUUUCUGUCUAAGCUUAUGGGUGGGACAAUGGUUUUCUGGAUGCUGUGGAGAGCAAAACAUGACUGGGCAGACAUAGUGGGGCACAAAGUUAUGUUUGAAAUGGAAGAUGCAGAGAAAGCAAGAAAGAAGGGACUGGAACAUCAUUGAUAAAGUGUUUAUCUAUUAACAUUUUGCUUGUAUUGUGGAGAGCUGAGGUACCUAACUUUAAAGUGAGAAAAUGGAAGUGGAUGCAACAAUUAUUGCAAAGGGGGACUAAUCAAUUGUGAUGAGAUUAAAUUGGAUAGUGUUAAUGUGGUUUGAUGUAUCUACAGCAGUGAUGAAGUAAUUUUGUAAAUAUAUCAUGUACUUUAUGUGGAA